CAUAAUAAUUUGUCUUUUAAUUGAAGACUGGUAUGAAAGGCAUCAUGGAAAUAAGCUGUCUUAUAAAAAAUUCUUAAAAUUUUCUUAGGAGGUGAAAAUUCCUCUGUUAAAUUAAAUUAGACGAGAAGACCCUUAGAAUUAUAACAAGACUUGAUUUAAGGACAGUUUUUGUUGGGGCAACAUUAUCAGAGCUUAUAACUGAUAACUUAUUAAAGUUAACAAGACCAUCAUUUUAAAUAGGAAUUUAAUUACCUAAGGGAUAACAGCAUAAUUUAAUUAUAAGAGUAUGACCUCGAUGUUGGACUAGGGACUUUUUACACUAGACGUGAAAAAAGAUUGUUCUGUUCGAACAGUAGUACCCUACGUGAUCUGAGUU
rnacentral:rRNA from 1 species